rnacentral:rRNA from 1 species
GUUUACAACCAUACAAGCCUGAACAUGUCUGAUCACAUCUGAUCUCAGAAGCUAAGCAUGAUUGGCCUUAGUUAGUACUUGAAUGGAAGACUGUAGAAUGUUUUAAAUUCAGGUAGUGUGAUCC